UGCUGCUGCUCUUUAGGAGAUGCCUACUUCUUCAAGGACAACCUUUACUGGGUGCUGCAGAACGGAAGACUGAACCAAGCUGUCGUCACUCCUAAAUCCAUCGCUGUAGACUGGCUCAGAUGUCAAGCUCCUCUGCCUGCAACCUCCCGUCCUCAAUCCCCAAAGGAGUGCCUCUGUGACUUGAAUGCGUCAUCACCAUUUCUAAGAAGCAGCUGGCUCUUCCUGAUCUCUGUUAUAUUGAUAAUUAAUGAAUUUGUUAGAAUAGAUGGAUGGAAUUUGUUUGAAACCAAGUGGCUGUUUAUGUAAUACUUCUAUUGUUCCACUGGAGUGUAAUAGAGGCUCUUUACAUCAUUAUACUCACAGUACAUUACAAGACACAAGCUGGUUUCAAAUUACACAUUAUGUCAUAAAAUGUUAAAUAUCCACCUGAUACUUUAGCAUAGGUCAGUGUCACUGCAAAUACUUUACCUCUUUCAGAACAUAUUGCUGACCCAUGAAAAUAGUCCGCUCGUGUCCGAAAUCACUCACUGCUCACUAUUAGCCCACGAUAUAUUGAGUAGUGAAUGGGUGAAUGAUUUCGGACACCGUCUAUUAUUUUUGCGUCCUUCUGCCAUCCUGCUAUAGAAUUUCACCCCCUCUAUUUUCCAAAGUAUUUGGAUUACAGAGCCUGUACAGGGUAACACGUGGAAAUUCAACACAGAAAUCCAGCACGCAGGCUGCUAUCUCAUAAUGAGGCUCUACACAACCACUGGCCACACAAACAUACUGAAGUGCAACUCUGAUUUUCUUGACAGUAUUAAUGCAACAGUUCUGCAAACAGAGAUGUGGACUUAGCAACAGGUACAGAGUCAGCGGGGGCAAUCUAAGCAGGCGGGGCUAGGGUUAUGGGAUAUGUUGACUAAAAAAGUGCAGAAUUACUGCACAGAAGUAGCCGUUGUGACAUCUUUACACAUUCAUGCUUCAUUUUCUUCAUAUUUUAGUUAUUUAACACUGAUUAUGUUAUUCUUGUAUUUUAUUAUUUUAAUUUCUAUUUGAAUCCAUCACUGUGAUCCUUUUGAGGGGGAGCUCUGCAGAUGUAAUGCAGUAAAUCAUUCUUAAAGGUAGUAGAGUUUAGGGAUUUCGAUUAAAAUAUGUUUUUUUCUCAGGUUAGGCCAAAUGUAGAUAAUGCAUUGGUAUGUAUGAACAAUUUUUAAGUGACUAUUAGAAAAUAUCAGUAAAAAGAGUUCUUAAUAUUA